CCCAGACGCCGCGGCUGGCACUCGCAGCUCACGCCCUUUGUUCCGCUUCAGUCCCGACGCCGCGACCUCACGACAGGCCGAAGAGGCCUGCGCUACUCACGUGUCCUCCAAGUGCUGCUCCAAAGUCUCUUCCAUUCCGCCCGAGGUUCGCGAACCCUCAGCGAGACGCGUAGUUCCCCCCUGACCUUAGGCGCUCCUCCCUCACAAGACACCCCGGUACGCGGACUGGGACGGCAGCUCCAAAGGGUCAAAAUUCAUCGAGGCGCAACGUUCGCGUUCCUAACUGGGAGACGCCGUGCAGCUGUUGGGUGAUAUCCUUAGUGACCCACGCCGGGCUCCCCUCCGGAACCCGGCAGCGCGAGUUUUUUCGGGAGAAAGCUCUUGGAACCCGAAACUACCAGGAGGGUCCAGCAGGGAAUGCCCGUGGCCACCUCUCCAGACUGGGAAGCAGGGAAUAAGAGACGGAGUGUGGGAGCUAAAACCUUCAAGACUAAUUCUGCCAUUGGGCCAAGAGAUCCUAAUCCCUCUUCCCUGACCCAUCCAGGAGCGGAACCUUCCUGUUGCUUAUAAUCUGGGUGAGGACACAUACAAGGAGAUAACUAAGGGCAAUGAAAGUAGGAGCCAAAUGAUGGCUUCAGACAUCGAGCAGUCUUGCGUUCAUGGGAGGAGAUCACAGGGCUGGACUCGUAUAGUUGCUCUAUAAAGCUGUGUUAA